UUCUUCGUGAACACUCUCGUGCGGGCCAUCGUCAUCCCACGCUAGAAAUUCAUCUCGGUGAUUGACUUGGAAAGUUUCCAUAAUAUUCAGUUAAAAUGGAUGGUCGUGAUGGAGAUAGAGUGGAUGAUGUGGAAGAUUUAGCGGAUUUGUCUCAAACAACUAAGAAGUCCCGGACAAUGCCAAAUAGCUCAUCAGGUCCUUGUAUUGACAACAGCCUGAAUUUGCCUCAAAUUCAAAAUUCAUUCCCGAACCAAUACAACAUGAACUUUGGUGCGCCUUUCAACCCUAUGCAAUACUAUCAACCCCGAGGUGAUCCCAUGUUUUACACUAAUAUGUGGAGUUUUAUACCAUUUGGGGGUUCACCACAAGUUCCAUAUCACGAGACACAUGCAUCACAAGCCAACAAGUCUCCUUUGACUUUUAACUGUCCACCAUUACAACGUCAACUUAUUUCCCAAAGCAUCCCCGGUGUAAGGUCUACUGAAACAAACCAGCGUGCAAAUAAGAACUGGAGCACUAAAGAGGAUGUUGAGUUGUCCACUUCCUAGUGUAAUAUAACGACGGAUGCGAGUUGGUGUCGGACAAAAAAAAGAAAGGUUAUGGGAGCAAGUAUGCGAGAAUUUUAUUGUUCUUAUGCAAGAGAACCAUGGAGUUAUGAGAUCAGAGAAUAAAAGAACACUGGGAGGUUUUGAGAGAAUCACUGGACGAGAAAUUCGAAACCAAUGUACAAAAUGGUCCGCCAUACGAGUUCAAGCGGAGCCAAAUUAUAGGAGCGGAUGGAGCCCAGCAGAGUUCGAACACUAUUGUCAUGUAACAUAUAAGGACAGACACAAUUCGAGCUUCAAAUGUGAAGCAUGUUGGCAAGUAUUGAAAGAUCCACCCAAGUGGCUAGACCUUGUUGAUAGAAAGAAAAGAAAGACCAAGGAGAGGUCUAGCACUUCUAGGAAAAUUGCAAUAGGGGAGCAAAAUGAGUCUCACAAACCUGUUGAGGUCCUGUCCCCUAGUCUCUCCUAUUGACGGUGGUGUGGAGGAGAUACCUAUAAAUACAGAUUCGUCAGCGAAAGUCCCUACUCAGCAAGAAUUAGAAGGCCUGGCUGUAAUUAAUUUGGAGCGCCCAAUUGGAGUUAAAAAAGCGAAGGCUAGCAACAAAGCAAAUAAUCAACGGCAACGAAGGAUAAGGAAUUAUGAAGAGUCUCAAGCAUCGGUUACUCAAACAAUUACUGCCAAUUUGAUGAAACUUGAAUAUGCAAGUAAUGAAAGAUGGUCAAGAAUUGAGGAGUUCGAUCGAAAAACUCAAUUGCAACUCGAUGAGGAAUAUUAGGUGGUCUUUGAAAGAUCUAAAAAGAAGGUGUUUUCAGAUAUUGACGGUUCUAUUUUUAUUUUUUUUUGAUCUCGUGUUAUGUCAAUACUGUUUACUUCUACUUUCAGGAUUCAAUAGACACAGAGAAAAAAUAUGCAAAUAUAGCAAAAGAGCUUGAAAACAUUGGCGACAAGCUGAUGGGUUCAAUAGCAAGAAUGGAAGAACUGGAUGAGGAAAACAUACGCACCGAGUACCAGGAAAAAUUAUACAAAAUACGGAAGGAGCAAAUGGAGUACUACACACGGGGUUAUAAUAUUAUGAGAUUUUUUUUUUUUUUUCUGAUCUUGUCCAAUUGUAGGGUUGAAAUCAAUUCUUCAAUCGAUUGACGAAGCAAGUCCUCCGAAUGCGGAUGUGGAAACUACAAGUGGUAAACGUACGGAUUGUCGAAAAAGGCUUUUCAAUGAGACAAAUGAGGAUGAUUGUUCCACGGAGAAAUGAACACCUCAUUAUGUGUUUUUUAUGCAAGAUAUCAUUGUUUUGUACUUAAUUAUGCUACUUACUUAAUUGUGCACGUCUGAUCUUCGUUUUGUGCUCAUAGCACUAAUAGAUCCCGUAUGUUUGUUAUGUUCGGUGGGUAUUGCUACCUUUUAUGGUGCA